GGAUUUGUUUCAGGGUUUGACUUAAGCUCCUUUCUGCUGUUUCCCAGACUACUCCAGGCCACAAAGCAGCCCAGCAUCCAGAGGGCAUGCCAGGCCUUUAGAAUCCAACCUUCUCGUCGUACGGAUGAAACUGAGACCCAGAGAGGAGAGGUGGUUUUCCCAUCGUCACACAGUGAGUCGGUGGCAGAGAUGCUUGUUGAACUCAGGUCUCUUGCCUCCAUAAAGGAAGUAUUGGCCACUGUUACAAGCUGCUAGGUGUCAGGUGGCCAGCAGGAAGUAUUACCAGUGGCCUCAGGGGCAAAUGAGCUUUUGGAAUCUGAGACCUUGCAUAGGGGCUGGCACAUUAAAAUAUGCAGGAAUGUUGGUUUAUUGAAUUGGAGAAUCACUGAAUUAGUGAUACAAAUAAGUGUGAGGGGAGGGCUAAGGCAAUGGUAGUGCCAUUUGCAAAAGUACAAAAUCAGGCAGAAAGAAACUAGAAUCCAGAUGAGGAUCUAAAUGAUGCAGAAGUUACAAGGGGGUUUUUUGUGUGUGUAAGUUAAUUUUGUCAACUCUCAAACUUGACCAUGAAAACUUGGCCAAAGAGACAUUCUGAGACAAAGGGCCUCUGUGCCCAGCUGGCUCGCACCCAUGGAGGACAGCUCAGAGGACGGAGAAGCAGCCUGCUGCUCAGGCCUCCAACUGAUAUGCGAUUGAGACCAUCUGCCAAUUGUGGAUACUUGGACAUGCUUGGCCUGAGGAAGAAUCACCUUGGACAGAUGCCCAAACUAAAGAGACCAGAUCCAGCUGGUCUUUCCAGGUCUCAAGUGCAAACUGAUGGGACAAUGGAAACAUCAGAUCGUCGAUCAUCCCAAUCACCAGGGGGAGUGGAUUCAUCCAGAAAUAGACAACCCUAAACGUAAGCCUGACCCCACCAUUUGUUACUAUUAGAACAUCAGUGUUCUUGGUCUGGACCUUUGGCAGGUAAAGUUCUCUGGGUUCAGAGCCACUGAUCAAGAGUUCCUCUAAAGUUUUCAUAAAAUGGAGCUGCAAACUGGAAAUCACAAGAUUUGAAUGAGUCUUGAUCUUUCUAAGUCUCAAACUGCUCAUCUUUAAAAUGGGACUAAUUAUACUUGUCCUGAUAACCACAAUAGCUAAAAUGUACUGAGCCCCUACCAUGUACCAAGCACCAUGUUAGAGACUUUGCAAACGCUACUUAAUUCUCACUAUGAAAUCUCCUAUUUCUGAAUGUGGAAACUGAGGUUCAGAAAAGAUAAAUAAUUUGCCAAGACACAUUUGGUAAACAGAAAAGCUGAUAUUUGAGUGUAGAUCUUUUAUUUCUUUUUUAAAAUUUUUUAAUUUUUAAUGAUUUUAUUUAUUUAUUCAUAGAGACAGAGAGAGAGAGGCAGAGACACAGGCAGAGGAGAAGCAGGCAUCAUACAGAGAGACCCUGAUGUGGGACUUGAUCCAGGGUCUCCAGGAUCACACCCUGGGCUGCAGGCGGCGCUAAACCUCUGCGCCACCAGGACUGCCCUAGAUCUUUUAUUUCUUAAGAUUUUAUUUAUUUGAUGGAGUGAGAGACAGAGAGACAGGGAGAGCAUGAGUGGGGGGCAGGGGCAGAGAAAGAGGGAAAGGGAGAAGCGGACCCCCGCUGAGCAGAGAGCUUGAUGUGGGCUCCAUCCCAGGACCCUGAGAUCAUGAUCCAACCCAAAGGCAGAUGCCCAAUCAACUGAGCCACCCAGGUGCUCUGAGUGUAGGUCUUUCUGAGUCCAGAAUCAGGCUUCCAGUACUUUACACUGCCCUGCUGGUCCUGCGUGAUUCUUGGGAGUGAUUUUGGGCAAAGAGAAUCAUCAGAACUAUGGUAAAAUUUUAAAAUAUUAAAAUCCCCAGGGGCACCUGGGUGGCUCAGUUGGUUAA
rnacentral:lncRNA from 12 species